CUGGGUGUUCAGAGGCUGGCUGGUGAACGAGUCACCUCAGCCAGCCUGUAGUGCGGCUAGCACCAGCAGCAACCUAAGAGCAGCCGAGCUUUGAUUUUUUUUCCCCAGGUGUGAGUAGGAUAAAUUUCAGAAGUGAAAUCACUAUGUCAAAGGCCCCCCGAACUGAUACGGAAAUUUCAGUCCACAGUAGAGAAGAUAUGAACAUUAUCCUGGAAUUUAUCAGCUGCGAUUGACUCCUGAGAAGCAAAAUUCAUGCUUUCCUGUCCUAAAGGUAGAAGUUUGUUCUACUUCUUCGAACUUGGGAGAUUCGAGUAAACUUCAGCCUUGCCAGAAACAUCCUUCCUCUGGAAAACUCCAGUAGGCCCUCCCUGCUCACCUUCCUCCAUCUACCUCUCUGCUGCAAGAAGUGUAUGUUUGGCUCCUGCACAAGAAAAUGCACUGGCGUUUUUUUACCAGGGAGUGUCUAGUAAUUUCUAAGUGAGUUUCUGAAACCUCCAAGCUAGACUUUUUUUUUUCCUUAAGCAAAUAAAGCCUGAGAGGUGAAGCAUCUUCAAAGAGUUGUGUGCACUCAGCAACUUUGGUGUGUUAGUUUGUCUUUCAAUCUGCCUUACUCAGGGUACUUAUCUCUUAGAAAGGGAGAUUAUUACCCCCAGACUGGGUUGGAAACCGCUUCGCUGACAGGUUUAAGAGUCUUAACAAUUUAUUUACAGCAGAAAAGGCAAAACUGUGCAAAAUGGCAGACUUCAUUCUCCCUGCAAGGGUCAGCUGGGUGGGGAGGGAAGUGGAAUCAAAAUGGGGAACCUCUCAACUGUGCUCAGAAAGGUUGGGCUUCCUGUGGGAGGGAGGUUGGGGUAGGGGUGAACAUUGGCAUUUCCUCCUGAGCAACCAGUUAUCUCCUUGAAUAGAGACAACUGCUAAACUGACAAGCCCUUCACCGGUAACCGUUGAUCUGGCUUAUGACUCAAGACUUAAAAGAACCCUAGAGUUGUCGCAAUUACUCUUCCUGUUUCUCACACCCAGAAAGCUAGACCAAUAAUAGAAUCACGCCGUUGAGUUUCUCCUGACCUUGCUUUUGGUACCCAGUUGAAGAGUCUUUUCCUUGGACGUGGCAGAAUCUGAACUAUGACUAAUACAUACAGAUUUGCAAGAAGAGGACAAGAGAGUGUGUUUAUGUUUCUCUCUCCCUAGCAGCUCCUCCUAGUCUAAUAUAGGGAAGAUACUAGGAGCUCCAUAAAUGUUUGUCAUAUGAUUGAAUGAAUAAAUGGACAAAUACA
rnacentral:lncRNA from 1 species